rnacentral:rRNA from 1 species
UACGUAGGGUGCGAGCGUUGUCCGGAAUUAUUGGGCGUAAAGAGCUUGUAGGCGGUUUGUCGCGUCUGCUGUGAAAUUUCGGGGCUCAACCUCGGGCCUGCAGUGGGUACGGGCAGACUAGAGUGCGGUAGGGGAGAUUGGAAUUCCUGGUGUAGCGGUGGAAUGCGCAGAUAUCAGGAGGAACACCAAUGGCGAAGGCAGAUCUCUGGGCCGUAACUGACGCUGAGGAGCGAAAGCAUGGGGAGCGAACAGG